rnacentral:rRNA from 1 species
GAUGAACGCUGGCGGCGUGCCUAAUACAUGCAAGUCGAGCGAACGGACGAGAAGCUUGUUUCUCUGAGGUUAGCGGCGGACGGGUGAGUAACACGUGGAUAACCUACUUAUAAGACUGGGAUAACUUCGGGAAACCGGAGCUAAUACUGGAUAAUAUUUUGAACCGCAUGGUUCAAAAGUGAAAGACGGUCUUGCCGUCACUUAUAGAUGGAUCCGCGCUGCAUUAGCUAGUUGGUAAGGUAACGGCUUACCAAGGCAACGAUGCAUAGCCGACCUGAGAGGGUGAUCGGCCACACUGGAACUGAGACACGGUCCAGACUCCUACGGGAGGCAGCAGUAGGGAAUCUUCCGCAAUGGGCGAAAGCCUGACGGAGCAACGCCGCGUGAGUGAUGAAGGUCUUCGGAUCGUAAAACUCUGUUAUUAGGGAAGAACAUAUGUGUAAGUAACUGUGCACAUCUUGACGGUACCUAAUCAGAAAGCCACGGCUAACUACGUG